rnacentral:ncRNA from 1 species
GAAUUUCGAGUUUUGAUCAUUCGGAUUUGUUUUCCGCCCAAGGCGGAUCAGCCUCAGGCUGAAGAAAUUCGGAUUUCGUGCUUAGAAAUUUCAAUUUUGUUACGAGUAACAAAAUUGUAGAUACCCCUGUAGUCCACGCCGUAAACGAUGGAUGCUAGGCAUUGGCAGUAUCGACCCUGUCAGUGUCGUUCACCUAAGGUAACCCCUUAAGCAUCCCGCCUGGGGAGUACGGUCGCAAGACUAAAACUCAAAGGAAUUGACGGGAACCCGCACAAGCGGUGGAGCAUGUGGUUCAAUUCGACGAUAAGCGAGGAACCUUACCAGGGCUUGACAUGUCUGGCGCAACCCUUAUCUCAUGUUGAAUUGUUCAUGAGAGACUGCCUCGGUUAACGAGGAGGAAGGUGGGGAUGACGUCAAGUCAGCAUGGCCCUUAUGCCCUGGGCGACACACGUGCUACAAUGGAGCCGACAACGGGACGCCAAGUCGCAAGACGGAGCAAAUCCCUUAAACGGCCCCCCAGUUCGGAUUGGGGUCUGCAACUCGACCCCAUGAAGCCGGAAUCGCUAGUAACCGUGGAUCAGCCUUGCCGCGGUGAAUACGUUCUCGGGUUUUGUACACACCGCCCGUCAAGUCAGGGGAGCCGGAAAUGCCCGAACCCCGCAUUCGCGGGGGAAGGUAGGUCUGGUAACAAGGACUAAGUCGUAACAAGGCAUCCGUAGCGGAAGCUGUGGAUGGAUCACCUCCUUU